AACGCACCUUGCGCCUCUUGGUAUUCCGAGAGGCAUGCCUGUUUGAGUGUCAUUAAAUUCUCAACUUCAAAAGCUCUUGUCUUUUUGAAGCUUGGAUGUGAAGGCUUGCUGGCGUUUUUAAAUGUCUAGCUCCUUUGAAAAGUAUUAGUGGACCCGUUUGUGUUCAUCCUUAGUGUGAUAAUUAUCUACGCUGUGGCUUUGAAUGCAUGCUCAUUAGAACUUUUCGAGCUGUUGUUUUUACUACAGUCUCGGUGUGGAGAGUUGCGUGAAUUUGCUCUUUCUGUCUCUUGAGUCAGGAUUGUCUGCUUCAAACCGUCUACAUAUUGUAGACAAUUUUGAACCAUUUGACCUCAAAUCAGGUAGGAUUACCCGCUGAACUUAA
rnacentral:misc_RNA from 1 species